UCUUGGUCAUUUAGAGGAAGUAAAAGUCGUAACAAGGUUUCCGUAGGUGAACCUGCGGAAGGAUCAUUAACGUAUCUACGACGGGGAAGGCGCCUCGCUCCGGUUCCAAACGGGCCGUGCAGCGGGCGCCCACCCGCUCGACCUUCACAAACCCCACCGUGAACCUUUGCGGGCGGAAGGGGGCGCGAGCCCUCGGAAGUCUGCGUAACAAACCCCAAUCUCAACGAGAACGACGAGCGACCUCGAGUCGCCCUAACACGAAACAACUUUCAACAACGGAUCUCUUGGCUCUCGCAUCGAUGAAGAACGCAGCGAAAUGCGAUAAGUAAUGUGAAUUGCAGAAUUCAGUGAAUCAUCGAAUCUUUGAACGCACCUUGCGCUCCUCGGUAUUCCGAGGAGCAUGCCUGUUUGAGUGUCUUGAAGUCAUCAACCUCCACGUUUUUCGUAGACGGGGUAGGUUGGAGCUGGGGGCAUGCGGCCGAGAGGCCGCUCCCCUCAAAUGCAUCGGUCGGGCCUGUGGGUUCCAACUCGAUUGGGCGUUGUACCAUCCUCGCUCCGCANAGUAGGCCCGCUUUUAAGCGCCCCUCCUCGACUCGCCUCUGGAGCGGCGGUCAAGCACAUUUUUGAAAUCUGACCUCAAAUCAGGUAGGACUACCCGCUGAACUUAAGCAUAUCAAU
rnacentral:rRNA from 1 species